CUUCUUGUUCUCCUUCUCUUUCUCGAGAGAGAGAGGGAGAGUGUGAGAGAGAGUGGAGAGAGAGAAAAAUGAGAGAAUGAGAGAGGGAGUGGGCUCAUAAGCCCCUCUAAUGUAACAAAAUCCAAUUUAGCCCCUCAACUUUUCAUCUCUCAACCUGCCUUCACUAGGCAGUUUUCGCCCAGAGGGACCGGUCCCUCGUCGGGGAGACCGGUCCCCGAGAGCAGUCCCCGCAGCCAGAAGGCCUCUUCGCGUACGGGAACCGAUCUCUCCCCGGGAGACCGGUCCUCGGGAGACCGGCCCUCGCCUGAGAGACCGGUCCCCGAGAGCUCGAUUUUCAGGACUUAGCCAAAUUUCGCUCUGUCUCGCGGGUUUCACCUACGGGGACCGGUCCCCCAGCCCAGGGACCGGUUGCAUCAAGCAACCCCGCAACCCUCAGCUACGGGAAACGGUCCUCCCUUCCAGGGAUCGGUCUCCGAGAGCAAAAACUGCUAAGUUCAGAU
rnacentral:lncRNA from 1 species